rnacentral:lncRNA from 1 species
GUUUAUCACUGGCUCUGUCCUUCCUGCAUGGCAGGCUGUUGGGCAUUCCAAUAGCCAGGCUAGUCAAGAGUGAUGCCUUUCAUUUUUAUUUAUAUGUUGGUUCCUUUUUAAUUCUUUCAGAAUUGUCCAAAUCCAUCUGAGGCCCUGUGUCUGUAUAAACUGAUUUCCAUGGCUGCUCCUCCAUGUAAGACUUUGCCAUUCUCUGCCUCCAAAAGGACUUGGAUCUAGGAUGACCAUAGCAUCAGGCAUCUUUUGACUAUGGAGAUAAUCAGCCAGUGCCUCUGACCAAGCCAUGUUUUAAUCCAAGAGUAACUACCCUUGGAGAAUAUCGCCUGUUUCCGGGAGUAAGAAGAAAAUGGUCUGCACCAUGGCAACAUGUAUUACUACUGGCUGCCCAGUGGAGCAAAAGGAACUCUGUUCGGGGCUAGAUUUCACGUCAGACAGAAAGGUUAUCGUGGAGACACAAAAAAACAUAUGUUCUUGGGCGUAUAGGUUUGAACCAUAUUUAAAUCAUAUGAGAUGAUAACAUUGAGUAGAACUGGUUGAGUAUCACACAUAAACAUUCAAAGUGGAUUAAUUUUAUUUUGCAUUACGUUCCAUUUGGAUUCUCUUAAACAAAAAGCCAUCAUUUUUUCUACAACCACCAAUUUUAUAGCAGAUGUUAUACAUUCUUUGAAAGCAAAGACUGUGACAUUUAUCUUUGUAUUUCUUUCAGCACCUAUGUAAAGAUUUCUAAUAAAUGCUUGAUGGAUAUAUUAAUGGUUUCUUUA